GGAGACACGGGGUCAGGAGCAGGCACACCCAGGCUGGGGGGAGGGGAGGGGGGGCUCUGAUGGCGCCACCUCUGCCAGCCCCUGGGCUCUUGUUGAGGACAGGAGCCCCCAGAGCACUUUUCCCACCCCCCACCCCCUGUUAUGAUACCGUGAAGUGUUAGCUGGACCCUGAGGCUCUGCAAUGCCUGCAGGUCUCAGCUGGUCGAACCUGCCCUUAAGAUUCUGUGAAUUGUCAGCACCUGAAUCCUCUUAAGCUCAACAGAGUUGUCCGACCAUCGCCACAAUCUACUUCCAGAACAUUUUCAUCACCCUGGAAAGAAACGCUGUGCCUAGAUCAGUUGCUGCCCCAUCCACCCCACCAACCCAUUUUCUGUCUCUACGGAUUUACCUAUUCUGGACAUUUCAUAAAAAUGAAGUCAUACAA